rnacentral:rRNA from 1 species
UUGGAGGGCAAGUCUGGUGCCAGCAGCCGCGGUAAUUCCAGCUCCAAUAGCGUAUAUUAAAGUUGUUGCAGUUAAAAAGCUCGUAGUUGAAUUUCGGGGUUAGUAGGUUGGUCAUGCCUCUGGUAUGUACUGGUCUCACUGAUUCCUCCUUCCUGAUGAACCGUAAUGCCAUUAAUUUGGUGUUGCGGGGAAUUUGGACCGUUACUUUGAAAAAAUUAGAGUGUUUAAAGCAAGCUAACGCUUGAAUACAUUAGCAUGGAAUAAUGAAAUAGGACGUUCGACCCUAUUUUGUUGGUUUCUAGGAUUGACGUAAUGAUUAAUAGGGAUAGUUGGGGGCAUUAGUAUUCAAUUGUCAGAGGUGAAAUUCUUGGAUUUAUUGAAGACUAACUACUGCGAAAGCAUUUGCCAAGGAUGUUUUCAUUAAUCAAGAACGAAAGUUAGGGGAUCGAAGACGAUCAGAUACCGUCGUAGUCUUAACCAUAAACUAUGCCGACUAGGGAUCGGAUGAUGUUAAUUUUUUAAUGACUCAUUCGGCGCCUUACGGGAAAC